UGCGUAGGUGGUUGCGUAAGUAAGGUGUGAAAGCCCUCGGCUUACCCGGGGAAUUGCGCCUUAUACUGCGUGACUUGAGGAUUUCAGGGGAAUGGGGAACUCCAGGUGUAGCGGUGAAAUGCGCAGAUAUCUGGGGGAAGGCCGGCGGCGAAGGCGCCAUUCUGGGAAAUUCCUGACACUGAGGCACGAAAGCGUGGGGAGAAC
rnacentral:rRNA from 1 species